rnacentral:rRNA from 1 species
UACGAAGGGUGCAAGCGUUGCUCGGAAUUAUUGGGCGUAAAGGGUUGGUAGGUGGUCUUGUUUGUCUAAGGUGAAAUCCCAGGGCUUAACCCUCGGAAGUGCCUUAGAAACGGGCAAGACUAGAGUCCUAGAGGGGUUUGUGGAAUUCCCGGUGUAGCGGCGAAAUGCGUAGAGAUCGGAAAGAACACCAACGGCGAAAGCACUCUGCUGGGCCGACACUGACACUGAGAGACGAAAGCUAGGGGAGCGAAUGGG